AUACUUACCUGGACUGGGUCUAUGGUCGAUCAAGAAUAACCAUGGCCUAAGUCAGUGGUCUCCAUUGCACUUGGGAGGAGCACUGGCUUACCAUCUCCUCAAGUAGGAGAGUGGACGUCAUAAUUUGUGGCAGGUGGGGUAUGCGUUCGCGCGGCCCCUAC